rnacentral:lncRNA from 1 species
GUGAGUUAAGCUUUUGAUCGUUACUGAAACCUGAUGGGUUAUUUGAUGAUUGAGUGGGUUUGGGGUCGGGUUGAGUGAAGGCAGGUCUAUUUGAGUUUGACCCUCGUGACCAACAAAAAUUAGGGUGGUUCUUCCAUCCUGAAUUAUAUGUUGGUGCAUAGGGAUCAUUUGUGGAUCUUUGAUAGGCUGCGUUCACCUAUACUACUUCAUUCUCGACUGGACCCAUCAAGAAAGGAUCUCCUUCCAUCGUGUGGUCUGUGGCAUUACACCCAUUGCAAGUAGAUGUUGCAAUUUGGUUCACUUGGGUGUGUCCCUUGAGUUCUAGGGCCUCUAUCCUACGGAUCAAAGAUACAAAUUUAGCCUCU